ensembl:rRNA 5S_rRNA 5S ribosomal RNA
GUCCAUAGACAGACUACUCUGGCCACACCUAAACUCAUCAGAUCUCUUAAGCUUAGCAGGGUUAGUACUUGGAUGGGAGAAGUGUGAAAUUAUAACUCACAGCUCUUUCUUUGUACA